UACGUAGGGGGGCAAGCGUUGUCCGGAUUUAUUGGGCGUAAAGAGCGUGUAGGCGGCUAGAUAGGUCCGUUGUGAAAACUCGAGGCUCAACCUCGAGACGUCGAUGGAAACCAUCUGGCUAGAGUCCGGAAGAGGAGAGUGGAAUUCCUGGUGUAGCGGUGAAAUGCGCAGAUAUCAGGAAGAACACCAAUGGCGAAAGCAGCUCUCUGGGACGGUACUGGACGCUGAGACGCGAAAGCGUGGGGAGCGAACAGG
rnacentral:rRNA from 1 species